rnacentral:rRNA from 1 species
AUUGAACGCUGGCGGCAGGCCUAACACAUGCAAGUCGAGCGGAUGAAGGGAGCUUGCUCCUGGAUUCAGCGGCGGACGGGUGAGUAAUGCCUAGGAAUCUGCCUGGUAGUGGGGGAUAACGUCCGGAAACGGGCGCUAAUACCGCAUACGUCCUGAGGGAGAAAGUGGGGGAUCUUCGGACCUCACGCUAUCAGAUGAGCCUAGGUCGGAUUAGCUAGUUGGUGGGGUAAAGGCCUACCAAGGCGACGAUCCGUAACUGGUCUGAGAGGAUGAUCAGUCACACUGGAACUGAGACACGGUCCAGACUCCUACGGGAGGCAGCAGUGGGGAAUAUUGGACAAUGGGCGAAAGCCUGAUCCAGCCAUGCCGCGUGUGUGAAGAAGGUCUUCGGAUUGUAAAGCACUUUUAGUUGGGAGGAAGGGCAGUAAGUUAAUACCUUGCUGUUUUGACGGUACCAACAGAAUAAGCACCGGCUAACUUCGUG